rnacentral:rRNA from 1 species
GAUGACCCCUGACAGAAUGCUUAACACAUGCAAGUCUACUUGAAUUUGGGUUUUUUAACUUCGAUUUGGGUGGCGGACGGGUGAGUAACGCGUAAAGAACUUGCCUCACAGCUAGGGACAACAUUUGGAAACGAAUGCUAAUACCUGAUAUUAUGAUUAUAGGGCAUCCUAGAAUUAUGAAAGCUAUAUGCGCUGUGAGAGAGCUUUGCGUCCCAUUAGCUAGUUGGAGAGGUAACGGCUCACCAAGGCGAUGAUGGGUAGCCGGCCUGAGAGGGUGAACGGCCACAAGGGGACUGAGACACGGCCCUUACUCCUACGGGAGGCAGCAGUGGGGAAUAUUGGACAAUGACCGAGAGUCUGAUCCAGCAAUUCUGUGUGCACGAUGACGUUUUUCGGAAUGUAAAGUGCUUUCAGUUGGGAAGAAAAAAUGACGGUACCAACAGAAGAAGUGACGGCUAAAUACGUGCCAGAGCGCGGAAUACGUAUGUCACGAGCGUUAUCCGGAUUUAUUGGGCGUAAAGCGGUCUAGGUGGUAUGUAGUCUGAUGUGAAAAUGCAGGCUCAACUCUGUAUUGCGUGGAACGGUGUAACUAGAGUACUGGGGAGGAAGGGAAUACAAGUGUGAGUGAAUUCUAGAUAUUUGGAGGGUGCCGUGGGGAGCAAAACUUGGAAGUACGGACGCGGAGGGGGAAGAAGGAUGCAAAAAAGUAGUAACUUGGAGCAAGGCCUUUCAUUAUAAUUAAGUUGUCGGGGGGGGGGGCCGGGGGGUUUUUUUUUUUUUUUGUUAUAAAAAUAAAAAAAAAACGGGGAGGGUACAGUGGGGGGGGGGAGGGGGUGGGGUAGAGGGGGGGGGGCCGGGGGCCCGCCCCUCAAAUAAAAAACAGAGAUGGGUUUAAUAGCACGCGCGCGGGCUG